rnacentral:lncRNA from 1 species
UCAGUCCGCUGGGCUCUCAAUCAGGUUUUCAAAAUACUAAUCUUGAUCUAAGAGCCCCUAUCUCUACAUCAGUGGAGGAAAUGAUCAUUUUUAGAGGCUUCUGGGCAUGGGGAAGAAGAAUGGUUUUCAGAUCGCAGAAGACCUGAAAGACUGGUCUGGCGUUCUCUUUACUGUGGACGCACUGCUGGACGAGGACCUUUUCCCGGGGUGUGAUUGUGUGCACACAGCCUUGCUCUGUAGGCCUCCCGGCGGCGGAGCCGUUUAUAAACAUCCUUCAUCAGUAGGAUGA